ACUCGUAUGUAAAAUUUAAAAUGGCUGAAAGUUGAAGCAGGUAACCCUUCAAUAAUGUUGAGAAACAUUCUUCCUAUUUGCCCAGGUUGUCUGCUGUAGCAAUGUAUCUGUUUGCAGUUAAAUUCGGUGUUUUAUGAAUUAGCAAUCAUUAUUGAUCACACUUACUAUAUUUAAUUCUAUAUUUUGUUUCGUACAACCUA
rnacentral:lncRNA from 1 species